GGAAGAGAUGUAGAAGGAAGCAUGAGGAAGGAAACUCCAAUGAAUUUGAAUUCUUCAAGUUUACUCAAGAGUUUGUUCGAUAAUGGGAAAAAUUGUCACAAUAAUCAAAAGAGUACAAAUCAAUUGGCAACAAUAAUGCAAAAUUAAAUUACUAUAUUGAUCCAGGAAAGUGACACCCAAAAUCUGAAGAAGAAAGGUAUCCAAUCAAUCAUCAUCAGAAUAAUUGAACUUGACCGAAUGGGAUUGCAAAUCAAUCUGCCCUCCUCUGUAUGUCCCACGCUUCUUCUUUGUUUUUUCAUGCCUAAAAUCCCUUCCUCUAACUGGCCCAAGAAUUUCCUGUGCUUUUGCACCAUAACCAUCCUCAGCUCCAUCCUUUGCCCAAUAAGAAUUAUCCUUGAGCUUCUCAGCAGACAAAACCACCUCAUCAACUUUUAUUCUUUGAAAAUGCUUGACUGUCUUCGGCUCAGCAGAACCAUUCUGUUGCUUUUUCAUGGUCUUCUGACUGGAAAAUUCCUCUCCGUUUUCUUCAAGGCUCCCAUUUGACUGCCCAUUAAUCUGUUUAGAAUCACCCAAACCAGCUUGUCUGCUUUCUUCUUUCUGAACUUUUUCUUCUGUUGUUGUGACUGAAUGUAACUCCACAGAUUGUUCUUUUAUCUUGGGUUCUUCAAAACCUUCUUUCUUUCUACGUUUGGAUUCUUCUGCCUCUCUAUUUUUGGAUUCUUCAACUAGUUUUUCACCAGUAAAUUGAACAGCAUCUUCUUCAGAAGCCACUCUUUUUCUCUUCUUGGAAACUUUUUUCUCUUUGGAAGUCGCAUCCUCCUUUGGAGUCUGAAAAUCACUUUUUUCAGAAUCAAUUUUAUUUGGUUUUCCUUCAUCAAUUACAGGAUCAGAAGACAGUUUGUUUCUCUUUCUCUUCUUAUCCUUUGAUUUAUUUUCUGUCUCAGACUGAGGUAGUUUCUUACCAUCUGGAAACACUAGAUCCUUAGAUUUUUCUUCAACCACCCAAGGCAAUGAUUCUAAUGGACUAUUAUCAAUAAGAGAUGCUGAAUCAGAGGUGCAUUUCUUCUUUUUGUCCUUGCAUUUUUUUACAGAAGAUUCAUGCACAUUAUCAUCAGUGGACUCCUUCAAAUUUUUUGUGCUGACUUGUUCUUCUUCACCAAGAGAGCGAGAUAUUUUUUUAUUUCUCUUUUUCUCCUUAGAUUUUACAGGCAAUGUAUCAGGUGUCAUCGUCUCUUCAGCAUUCUUAGAAUUGGUAUGUUUAUCACCAGCACUCUUAUCAAUCCUCUUUUUCUCCCCAUCGCCGAUGCUGCAAUUGUCCAAAAACUUGAAGAAUAUCUCCUCCAAGUCAAAUGAGGAAUCCUUCAACUCAUCUUCCUGCAAAAUGGAGCGAGGAAAAUAAGAAAUUUAACACAAGCUAAACCCAUGAAUUUGCAAACAAAUUAAGAGAGACCUGGAGUUUGGUUUCUGAUCGGAACUUCUUAAGAGUUUUGGGGAAGCCACUCUGUGCAAGAUACUGAGCUAUGGAGUGAAUGAGAAGCGUCUUCCGCUUAUUGUCGUCUUGCUUCAUGCUUGAAGGAGGCUUACGAAGCACCACUUGGCGAGGCCUAAAUGCUAGAAGAUUAGAGUUUACGUUUGCUGUAUUUGCAGUUUGGGUUUUGAGCAUAUAUACACGGCGAUGGUUUGGAAGUGGUGCGCGACGGGGACAGUGGGGAAGAACGGCGAUGGCGAUGGGGGCUUCAAACUUGAAGGUUGAGCGCCAGCGGCAAUUGAAGGACGAAAGGUUUAGGGUUUUGUACGAGGAAAU
rnacentral:misc_RNA from 1 species